ACUAUGGGUCUGGCUGGUGACCACUAACUCGUUUAAUUCUUUUCCCUCCACCUUUCAGUGUCAAGACCAGAUACUGCAAGUUGUAGACACUUUCGAGUGGCCAGAGGGAAUCAGAGUGGAGUGCAGAGAGCUGACUUACCAGAGCACCCAUGGACUUGGACACCUAAGACGUCUGCUUGGGAUCCCACACUUUCAAGGUCUUUCCUCUGGCCUUCUUGUGGUUCUGCAACUCCUCACAGUGCUGGGAGUUGGUGAUGCCAACAGGACAUACCCUCCCAGAACCUACCUCUCCCAGAUCACUUUAAAAGGCACCCAGGACCCCAGAAUUCUCAUCCUCAAAGGCAUAGAGCUCAGUUCUUGACCCUCAACAAAUCUCUUCCUCGUAAAGAUCCUUUUGAGAGCGUAGGAUGCCCCCUGGAUGGUUUUGGUUGCAGAUUGUGGUGGUGGAGGGAGCUAUAAAAUGUAAUCUAUUACGAUUAAUUGGAUGCGCUAAUGGCAGAUUGGGUAGCGAUAACGCCAUAAGGCGUGGUGUGUGAACCAUGUGCUGCAUCUGUGCUAGCUCAGGUAAGUCAGCACACAAUGCCUGCAGCCUCCUCUCACCUCUUCCCUGAGCAGCACCUUUUGGCCUGAACGUGCCGAUCCCCCGGUUCUUCUUCUUGACAGCGACUUAACAUGCCCUGGGCAGCUUUUUAAAAUAAAUGAGUAUGAUAUUGACUAUGAAUCUAUAUAGAAGUCACUUGUUUUUCAGUCAUAAUCCAUGUCUAACUGCAGAAGAAAUUUCACACAUUUGAAAACAAAUAAAAGUGUAAAAGUGAAAACUUUUGUAACCGCAGUAUUCUGAAAUAGAAC
rnacentral:lncRNA from 1 species